rnacentral:rRNA from 1 species
AUGUGGCACGGCUCUCAGCAGGGGCGCCGCACCGACACAGCAACCGCCGUUCGUCCACGCUGGCUGUCUCCUAGAGCGCCGUCCCGAGUCACUGCACUACGCGCGCCAUCCCGAUCCACUCCACCAGGUAUCCACGUGAACAAGAUGUUCUCCGUGGCGUCAGUGGUAUCAAGCCUUGCAACCUCCGUUCUUGGAAAGGCUGCAUCCUUUGGUACUGACUGGGCUGUUAAUGAGAUCAAGUCAGCCUGGAACGCCCAGGAAGAGCUUCGCAAGUUGGAAAACUCAUUGAAAUUUAUCUGUGGUGUUCUUCGAGAUGCUGAGGACAGGGAGUCAGCUUCUCAUGUCCUUCACGAGUGGCUGGACUGUUUGAAGGAUGCGGUCUAUGACAUAGAUGAUCUUUUGGACGAUGCGUCCACCGAAGCUCUCAUGUUACAUGUUCAUAAGGGUUUAUCUCGCAUUGAGUCUAUGAGCCUUCUCGUUACUGGUCCAUUCAAAUUGAGUCACAAAAUAGAACAAGUUCGUAAAAAGCUUGAUGAGAUAGCAAAGGACAGAGGGCAAUUUGGUUUAAAUGAGCAACCAAUUAUUGACAGACGGAUGUUCAGGAGUAGCAACAGGGAAACUCAUUCCUUCAUCACCGAAUCAGAUAUUAUUGGAAGAGCUGAAGCCAAAAACAAGAUAAUUGAAAAGAUAUUGACAGCUAAAGACUCAAAACCCUUGUCUGUUCUUCCGAUUGUCGGUUUAGGAGGAAUUGGAAAAACUGCUUUAGCAAAAUGGAUUUACAAUGAUGUUCAGGUUACCCAGAAUUUUGAGAUGAAAUUAUGGGUUUGUGUAUCUGAUGUGUUCAAUUUAAAAAAGAUCUUGGAUGAUAUAAUACAAUCAGGUACAGGUGAAAGCAACAUGAAGCUAAAUCUAGAGAUGCUGCAAAGGAAGUUGUGUGCACUUUUGAAGGAAAGAAGAUAUUUUCUAGUCCUAGAUGACCUCUGGAAUGAUAAACUUGCAGACUGGGAAGAGCUGAGAAGGCUGCUAUCUAGUGGUGGAAGGGGAAGUGUCAUUAUAGUUACCACACGCAGUUCAAAUGUUGCAUCAAUGGUGAAGACUAUGGAGCCAUAUGACGUGGCAAAACUGCCAGAUGAUAAGUGCAUGCAAAUAUUUACCCGGUACGCAUUCAGAGGUGAGGAAGAGGACAGGAUGGACCAACAGUUAGUAAGUAUUGGGGAGUCCAUUGUGAAAAAGUGUUGUGGUGUUCCUUUGGCAGCCAGGACGCUGGGUUCCCUAUUGUCAAGAUGUCGAGAUGUUGAAGAAUGGCGACACGUUCUGGAGGACAAUUUGUGGGAUAUGGAGCAGAACACCGAUGAUAUCUUGCCAGCAUUGAAAUUGAGUUAUGAUGCACUUCCACCUCAUCUACGACCAUGCUUUUCUUGCUUGUCAGUUUUUCCAAAAGGCCACACAAUUUACCAGGACAUUUUGAUUAUGUUUUGGAUGGCUCUGGGAUUGAUUCGCCCAUCUAAUAAACGCACUCAGCUACAAACUGGUGAGAAGUAUUUUAAAGAACUACUUGGGAGAUCUUUAUUCCAGGAUCAGUGCGUCCUUUCUGAUAACAGGGUUUUUUACUGUAAAAUGCAUGAUCUUAUUCAUGACCUUGCAACCUUGGUAUCCCAAAAGGAGCAUGCCAUUGUAAGUUCUGAAAAGUUAACAGUCUCUGAGAGUGUCAGGCACCUAGUUUGGGACCGCGAGAACUUCUCCGUAGCACUCAAUUUUCCUGAGGAGCUGAUCAAGCUUUGGUACCGUGAGCAAAUCCUUCAUUGA